rnacentral:piRNA from 1 species
UCGUUUUUGGUGUGUUUCCGACAUCGGGG